rnacentral:rRNA from 1 species
GGGAGCUUGCUCCCUGAAGUCAGCGGCGGACGGGUGAGUAACACGUGGGCAACCUGCCUGUAAGACUGGGAUAACUUCGGGAAACCGGAGCUAAUACCGGAUAAUUCUUUCCCUCACAUGAGGGAAAGCUGAAAGAUGGUUUCGGCUAUCACUUACAGAUGGGCCCGCGGCGCAUUAGCUAGUUGGUGAGGUAACGGCUCACCAAGGCAACGAUGCGUAGCCGACCUGAGAGGGUGAUCGGCCACACUGGGACUGAGACACGGCCCAGACUCCUACGGGAGGCAGCAGUAGGGAAUCUUCCGCAAUGGACGAAAGUCUGACGGAGCAACGCCGCGUGAGUGAUGAAGGUUUUCGGAUCGUAAAACUCUGUUGUUAGGGAAGAACAAGUACCGGAGUAACUGCCGGUACCUUGACGGUACCUAACCAGAAAGCCACGGCUAACUACGUGCCAGCAGCCGCGGUAAUACGUAGGUGGCAAGCGUUGUCCGGAAUUAUUGGGCGUAAAGCGCGCGCAGGCGGUUCCUUAAGUCUGAUGUGAAAGCCCACGGCUCAACCGUGGAGGGUCAUUGGAAACUGGGGAACUUGAGUGCAGAAGAGAAGAGUGGAAUUCCACGUGUAGCGGUGAAAUGCGUAGAGAUGUGGAGGAACACCAGUGGCGAAGGCGACUCUUUGGUCUGUAACUGACGCUGAGGCGCGAAAGCGUGGGGAGCAAACAGGAUUA